CUGGACUAACAUCGGCACCGAACUAAUUUAAUGCGUUCGCCCGUUGGUCCUACGAAUCUUCUCAACCACGCUCGUCCUCUUCAUAAUCCUGUGGAUCCACUCAAACCCCGCUCAGAUCUGCUGUUGCAUCCUAAUCCACCGGAGCCAGUGCCACCAGCCCCAUCCCUUCUCCACCAUGUCUGCAUCACCGUCCUCCGUCGGCCAGGAGGAGAUUUCGCCCCUCAUUCCAGGCCCUCACUGUGGCGCCCGGAUCAGCACCUGGAUUGUUCGCGGUGGAGCGAACGCUGGUCAUCGAUUCUACUACAAAUAAAGAGAUGGGGCUAUGUGGAAUACAUGAUCGAAUGUGGAGUACCGUGCUCAGUUGAUUAAGCAUUUGGGCGUGGACCGUCACUCCGUCAGGCUGUGCGCGUCCCUCUCCAACCCGCAGCUUACCUGAAUCGAAGAGCUCGUUCAGGCGAACCAGUCGAGCAAUGGAGUUGUACCGCGGAGCUGGCACGAAAUGGUCGAGCGGAGCCAUAAGCAUGCAAUGGACCGGCUCGCUUGUAGUAGCAAGCAGGCAGGCUCAUCGGUGGACACGUCAUGACUGCUUGUUAUAUUAGUCGCUGCCAACCUGUUGGUCGCAGUGUUUAUGUUAGUGGCCGGCUCUCAUGAUAGUAGUUCAUCUGCUUAGCAGAUAAGACCAAUAGACGCAGAAUAGUUAGAGGCUCUCACUAUGCUUAGGGCUUGUCUGCUGUUUUGCCUGGUUUAUCAUGGACGUCAGAUAUGCGAAUGAUCUUAGGUUGAAUCCUUUGUAAUCAGUCAUGUGUUCAGCAAUAAAUUAUGCUUCCAGUAUUACGAUUUUAGUUGCUACAGCUAUGAAAAAGAAUUUUAUACAGUGGACGUUGUACACGCGGCAUAUCAAAUCGGCUAGGGCCUGCAAUAAAUCCCACUAGCAGGCGGAAAAGAAAUACACACAGAAAAUUUAUUUUUUUCAAAAAAAAACCAUGAACUCAAUGUUGUCUGACACAUUAGGCAGUACAUUAUCUGUUCAAAACAUAGCGAGGAAAGAAAUGCACGUUCUACCAUUUAAUAAACUCACGUUUCAGUAUAUUGAGACAUAGAUAGAUGCGAUAUCCAUGCAUGAUAAGUUUGUUCAGCACAAAAGUGUGGCCACACACCGCAAGAAGUCUGAAAUUUUCAUCAUACAAGGUAGCUAUCUACUUAAUUAGUCCAGCAAAAAGACCGAUAACUGCGAUAACUGAAGCUUUAGCUACCCAUUCAAUCAUACCAAGCAAAAAAAAGAAGCUUUAGCUACCCAUUGAAUCAGACCAAGCAAAAGACAAACAACUGAAAGAACUCCAUCACUCCAAACCUGUGGAGAUUACCUUCCAUCCAUGCUGCAACAAAACAAAAAAAUUGGAAGUCAGAUUGCGCUGCUGUUUAACAAAGAAGUACUAAUUACAAAUAGGUAGAGACUAGAGAGAAAAUCAUGACGUGAAAGCGAUUACCGUUUAUGUUAAACUGGAAUGUAACAUAUACUGAAUCCCCAAGUUUUUUCCUGUCCUACUUCCUUCACCCAUGGCGUCAGUAAUAGCCAGAUAUGUUUCAGAGUAGAAUUGAUUUUGAUGAAGAAAAUGAGAAGAUAAACGACUGGCUUCAACGCAAGAGUACACAUUAACUGAAGGCUGUUGACUUAAUUGACCACAGCAAGUAUAUGGAUUAGUCUCCCCUCUUCUAUAAUAUAAUGAAAAUCAUAAGCAUUGAAUUCCAGCUAGUAGUAUCAUAUUUCAUAGAAAAGCAAAAUAACCAUCCAAACCAUCUAUACAUCAAAGAUUCAAGGUUUUGGAAAUCAAUUGGCAGACUCCCUACAAAUCAAAUUGGCAGUAAGUAAAUAACCCAAGCUGUAUUUCUGGUUUACUGAACUAGGACCCGAGACCUGGGACUGGGACUUAAAGAUACCACUGGAUGAUCUAGUUGACCAAACAGAAGUUACAUACGAGCAAAACCAAUUUUCAGAGCACUUAUUUACUUUUGUUACUGCCUUAUUUUGGUCCCGUCCAUGGUAGAAAACAAAUAUUCCCCUUCCAAAUGCAUUCAAGUCAAAAUUUAGGGACUGCCAAAUUUCAGUCGAUGUAAGUGCAUAAAUUUUACAUUCUCGUUGCUCUUUUUGGAUUAUUUGGGGUCAUCAAGUACAGUCUGCCUAAGCUACCAAGUCACCAUGUGUAUACUAUAUUAUACUGUCCAAAGAAUCUACGGGGAAUCACCAAAUGUAUAUUCUAUAUUCAAAUGAAAAAAUGGUAGUGAUAUGCAAAAUUCUAAAGUUUCAAGAAAUGGACUGUUUCCAGAUUGCAUUCGUCAUUUUCGUAACGGGCCAUGUUUUGGUGCCAACAACAAAAUAUGAUUAUGCUACCAUAGACUACUGUGGUGCACUUGCCAACACAGAGACAAUCUCACAAUUCAAUUGGUGCGAGUAUGUGGUUGAGUGCCUCUUCUAGGCAGAUCAACGGCUUAAGGACAUGUUGGCAAACAACCCAAAAAUAAUUUAGUUGGUUGUCAUUUGUUCUUGCAGGUCAGUUUCUUUAACAUGUUAUGUAUCUCGUCAGGGGUUGUGGCUUUUAUUGACGAUAGAUUUAUUUAUGUUUUCACUUUUCACAUAUUCUUUCUUGACAACAUUGACUUGGGAUGUUCAACAAGCAGCAUGAUGUCCUUCCUCGGAUAAGCGUCUUCGAUCAGACAAGCAUCAGAAGGAUGAUAACUAUGGCAACUGACAUUGGGACGAGCGUCACGUCAUAGUCGAAUUGCACGGUAAUUUUUAGUUUUCACGUCAGAUGUGCCGUAUUCGAUGAUCCAUUUAAUCUGGGUGUUCUAACUUCUAACCUUUUAAGUUUGCAAACGACAGUUCCGAUCUGAUGCAGAUGUAUGCUAUGCCCCGCUGCAAGCACCCAGAUUGCACUGAGAAAAUAGAUAACCAACCAACAGAUGUCGCCAAUCAAAAUCAAAGUCACGGGGAUCACCAGGAUCCUCAGCAAACCCGCGGACUGAUUUCUCCAUUGCUGACAUGCAUUCUAUUAGGGCACGGCCUAGUGCAGCAGCACCAAUCCUGAUCCUGAAUGAACAUAACAGUAUUUACUACAGAAAACAGAGUCUUCCAACUUCAGCAAACACCCCAAAAUACUUGAUGACUGGGUAAUUUCACAUAAAUCCAUCGAUUAACAGAUGAUGUAUUACCAUAUAGGGGACAAAAAUUACCAAACUGGAUUCUACCAUAAACGUUACAAUCCCAUUAACCUUCCCACAUUUCCAGAAUUAUUGCACAGAACUCAAUUUUGUAAUAAAGCUUUUCAUGCGACACACUUCAAGCAUGAGAAACUACUCUCAUUACCACAAGAAAAUAUACCUACGUACUAAUUUCAACCCCAGAUUCAGAUGUCAUCUAAUCAUAACAGGUAGCAGAGCAGAAUUUCAUUUCCAGCUAAAGAUGUGGCAGUCAAAAAUGCAUACCUUGGCAUCCACCCAGGAGUCUUGCGGUCAAUCUGCUCUAUGUAGUGUUCAGAUGCUUGAGCUUUUUAUCUGCCGUCCCUGCCUCCGCAGCACAGAUUCGUCCGCACUAGAGGCGGUCGCCGCUGGCACCUCCCCGUCCGGCAGCGGCCUAACAGGAUAGUGCAGAGGCUCCAUGGGUAUGUCGCUGUCGUUCACCUCCUCUAGC